CUCUUGGGAAGCACGGCCCUCCGGGACGGCCCCACCUGGCUUCAGGUCUCUCCUCUGCGCAAGCAGCAGCCUCCAAGUCAUCUGUCGGCAAAGCCACGUGUGUCUUUCCCAGGCGAUCUCCUCACCUUAUUUCCCUGCCUGAAUUUUCCCCUCUCCUAUAAUUAUCUGCUGAGAUUUCCUUUCCUUUCGAGGACUGUCUCCGAUACUACCUUCUUCACGUUAUCCCACUCUAGCCCUGUUGACACAGUCCCCCUCUUCUUUGAGAAAAUCGUAACAUGUAAUUUGUGGUUCCUUACCAUUUGUAUCAAAUUUUACAUCACACUGGAGUCAUUUAUAAAUUUGUAUUUUCUUCCCUAUUGGUCUAUAAAAUUCCUGAGAACAGACAGGAGUUUUGAUUUAUUUACUUACAACCGCAACACCUAAUCGAAUACAGAGGUGGUUCAAGAAAGGGGUGAGAGAAUAAUUAUGUGAACAGCUUUCAGAUGGAAGGGAGCUUCCAGGAGACGUCCUCUACCAAUAGGCGAGAGUGAGCGAAUAAGAAAACAGAAGGAACCUCCUACAAAGGCCUGCGGUCUAUGGACGCACUAUCCCCCUGGGUUAAACACAGAAACGCUGCAGCUCCUCUCCCGGCCCAGCUCAUCUCUGCUUCGCCGCCGCCACACCCGGGUCUGAUCUGAACAGGACCAGAGGGAUCCGGUUUCAAGCCUGCAGAUGACGGGUAGAACGGAGACAAACACGAGCUGACGAGACCAUGUUCGUUGCACCUCGGUGUGCAAGGAACACCACCGCACGUGGCUGUCUCACCUGUACCCUGUGGCGAGCCCAUCAGGAGAGCCCGGACCCUGAGAAAUGGAGAGGCCUAUUUUGCUAAUGCUGAUCGCCCAGUCAGCACCCCUCACAUUGAGGAAUACCUCUGAAGCUAAAACAAAUGACUCCAUCUGCAUAUGAAUUUGGAAGCUGUAAAGCACCGAGGAUAGAACAUCACUGGUCAAACAAAGCCUUGGACACAUUCUGCCUCCGACCCCUGGAUGCUGACAGCCAUGAAUAUUUAUCACAGGCCGAGUGUAUUUUCUAACUCCUUCAAAAUGUAACACACACGAAAGGCUACGUAUUAAAAAUGAGAAGUCGCAUCUAAUCUCACAAACCUCAUCAUCCUUCCCAUCCAGCUGACCCCACUGAUCAGACACUGUUUUGAUCAUUAACUAGAUGAACAGGUGGCUCAGCCCAGUUGUAAAC
ensembl:lncRNA